GCAACACAUCUCGAAGAACAACAGUUACAAAGGUGAGUAACCGUCUUUUUUAAUUUGGGAGUGAUAUCCUGUGUGCUGCUUGCAUAUAGAUGUCUGUAUUGUACCUCCCACAAUUUUCAAAUUUUGUUUCUGUUUUACCCCAAGAGCCAUACCCCACUUUUUCUUUUUUUCCUUCAUCUCAGUUGCCAGCACCAACAUCCUGGAUAUUUUUGCAGCUUUGGACAAAGUCAUCAACAUCUUGAGAGCCACCCUAGCUAUAUGUUCAGAGAGUGUGCUCUAGUGACUAGAGGACUCAGUAGGGACAAACCACCCCAACACUAGGAGAUCUACUGAGAUGCCACCUGUGGGCAGGAAACACAGUAAUGCUUAAUGUGAUAUUCCACGGCUAUUGAAGAGUUACUUCCUUGUCAAACCCAUGAGUGGCUGCAGAGAUCAAGGAACUCAGAGAUUCCAAGGACCUGGAGAAGCAAGGGCUCCUUUGAGCUGAAUAUGAUCCUAUCUGAACAGCGUAGGUUGCUAAUGUUGAAACUUUAAGGUACUCUACAUCUGGUCCUCCGUCUGCUGUGGAGUCUCUGGCUUUGAAAUUGAGAAGGAACUGCUCAGGAAUCUCCAGUCCAGAGCGCAUGGCAUGCAUAGAUCAUAUGGUGGGAGCACCCACAGACUCUACCUUAUUCUUGGCUGGACAAAGAUUGCACAACCUCAGAAGAUAAAGAACCACUAGAGAAAAAGAAAAGGAGAAAAGUAUGGUGCCAAUGUUGGAGGAGAAAAUGGAGCAAGAAAAGAGGUUACUGCAGCACCAGUAAUAAAGUAAAUUAUGACAAUGACACCCACUUCAAAAGCAGGAACCUAAACACUAACCAGCAGUGUUGAAGAGAACCGUGAAACUGAAACAAGGCUAUAUGAGACUUUUUUUUAAGAACUGCUUCUGGAAGUACAGUUUGACCUGAACCCAUUGGUGGAUAAAUAUACAGAAUAGAAGGUGAAGAGAGUGGGGCUGUCUCUGAGCAAACUAGUCAACUGAGGGGAUGCCCCAUAUCUACAAAAUAAAUUGCAGCACACUGUUUUUGAGAGACCAUUUGUGAGUGAACGAAAACCCAGCCAGUUUUGGGAACCAGACCUCCUCAGGUGUUGGUGGAUUGGCAGGAGUUUCCCAGAUUUGGUGCUAUGGGAUGGAGUCGAUGGUGUCGUCAGUCACAGUUGAUUCUCGAUUUAGAAGCUUUUGGUAGUGUUUCUUCCAGAACUCUUUGAUGGAUUUGUUACCUUUAAGAAGGGUACAACCAUCUUCAGAUCUCAGCGAUGUGAGGCCACAUGAGCUUGGUCCAUAAAAGGGAACUGAACGGAGUCUGGGUGGGGCCACAAGGAAGUGCAAGGCGCAUGGACUGCCCUGACAGGUACUGCUGCCGAAAGCUCCAGUGUGCUGGGCACAUACAAAUUUGCAUCCACUCAAAUACAUUUUAACAUCCUGGGACAUGCGGGCAAGUUGGACUUCAACAGGUUUCAGCUGGUCACGGUGAACUCUAGGCUUCCUUCUAGGAUUCAUCUCUGCCAGCUAGCAUAUGUUAAAAUCCAGUGUGCACUGUCUGCAUGUAGUAACUAUUAUGUUUUGAAAACUAUGCCUUUUAUUCUGGCAUGGACAGGCUCUUGUUCUCUGUAAUUGACUCUACCCUGGGAUGGUCUACACUCAAGGUGCUUUCUCUCCACUGGUACUUCAGCAUGUUGUCUGCACAGCAUUCCUAGCUCCUGCUAUCCCAGGAAUCAAGAGCUCAAUCUGGGUUUCUCAGGUGGUUGUGCAGAGAAUUAAGUAUUGGGUCACCAUCUAGCCUUAUAACAGAUUUCUUUCUUUCUAAGUGGCUGGAAUAUAAAUAGAGAAGCGAAGAAACCUUCAGAUCAUAAUGUGGUAGAUACUUUUUUAAAUUAUUAUUGUUUCAGCAUUCAGCCUUUAAUUUCCAACAGCAAGAGCCCUCUUGAGUUGUGGUCAUGCUUCGCUGAACUUCAAGGCAUCAAGGUUUUAAUGCUGUGAUGAGACAAAACUAAGGAGGGCUCAACUCUGAACUGCAGUUUAAUGCCUUCAAGGUACCUGACAAAAUGAGGGGCUGAGAGGGCAAAAAAAAAAAAAAAAAAUAGAGAUCAGAAUGUAAAUUCUUUGACUUGUCACUUUUCCUUCAGGCAUUGCUCAGUUCAGUGUUAGCUGUAUCGAUAUAUUUAAAAUAAUAAAAAAAGCAAGCAUAUUUGAAGUCGCUAACCUUAAAAGUCAAUUUGGGUUUGCACCUCUUGGAAAUGGCUUCAGCAGCAAAGGAGCCUUUGAAGGAUCCUAAAUAAAACUUAAAUAAACCGGAAAUAAUGCAGCUGAAGCUGCCUGCUGACUUU